UACAGAGGGGGGCAAGCGUUGUUCGGAAUUACUGGGCGUAAAGGGCGCGUAGGCGGCCGCCUAAGUCAGACGUGAAAUCCCUCGGCUCAACCGGGGAACUGCGUCUGAUACUGGGUGGCUUGAAUCCGGGAGAGGGAUGCGGAAUUCCAGGUGUAGCGGUGAAAUGCGUAGAUAUCUGGAGGAACACCGGUGGCGAAGGCGGCAUCCUGGACCGGCAUUGACGCUGAGGUGCGAAAGCGUGGGGAGCAAACAGGG
rnacentral:rRNA from 1 species